CCCGCUGAACUUAAGCAUAUCAAUAAGCGGAGGAAAAGAAACUAACAAGGAUUCCCCUAGUAACUGCGAGUGAAGCGGGAAAAGCUCAAAUUUGAAAUCUGGCGUCUCCGGCGUCCGAGUUGUAUUCUGGAGAAGCGUUUUCCGUGCUGGACCGUGUACAAGUCCCUUGGAACAGGGCGUCAUAGAGGGUGAGAAUCCCGUCUUUGACACGGACUGCCAGUGCUCUGCGAUGCGCUCUCGAAGAGUCGAGUUGUUUGGGAAUGCAGCUCANAACGGGUGGUAAAUUCCAUCUAAAGCUAAAUAUUGGCGAGAGACCGAUAGCGAACAAGUACCGUGAGGGAAAGAUGAAAGCACUUUGGAAAGAGAGUGAACAGUACGUGAAAUUGUUNGAAGGGAACGCUCGUAGUCAGUCGCGUCUUCUGGAACUCAGCUGGCUUCUGCUCGGUGCACUUUCCAGUUCGACGGGUCAGCAUCGGUUUCGGUGGAGCAGACAAAGGCGGAGGGAAGGUGGCCGCUCCGGCGGUGUUAUAGCCCUCCGUUGUACGUGUCCCCCGGGACUGAGGAAUCCGGCGUAAGCCUGGGACGCUGGCGUAAUGGCUUUAAGCGACCCGUCGUGAGACACGGAAGCGGCGAAUUCAGCGGCCGUCUAAAUUACAAUCCGACCCCUUUACGGAGGUCCCC
rnacentral:rRNA from 1 species